rnacentral:rRNA from 1 species
UACGGAGGGUCCAAGCGUUAUCCGGAAUUACUGGGCGUAAAGAGUUGCGUAGGUGGCAUUGUAAGUAGAUAGUGAAAGCGUUCGGCUCAACCGAAUAUACAUUAUCUAAACUGCAAAGCUAGAGGACGAGAGAGGUUAUUAGAAUUCCUUGUGUAGGAGUGAAAUCCGUAGAUAUAAGGAGGAAUACCGAUGGCGUAGGCAGAUAACUGGCUCGUUCCUGACACUAAGGCACGAAAGCGUGGGUAGCAAACGGG